UUAAUUAAUAAAAUAAUUAUUUUAUAUAUAAUUAUUAAUUAAAGUAAUUUCAAAUUAUUUUGACCAACAAAAAUAUUUUUAUUGCUUAUAGUUA
rnacentral:miRNA from 1 species